UACGAAGGGUGCUAGCGUUGUUCGGAAUUACUGGGCGUAAAGCGCGCGUAGGCGGCUUAGCAAGUCAGGGGUGAAAUCCCACAGCUUAACUGUGGAAUUGCCUUUGAAACUGCUAAGCUUGAGUGUCGGAGGGGAUAGCGGAAUUGCUAAUGUAGAGGUGAAAUUCGUAGAUAUUAGCAGGAACACCGGUGGCGAAGGCGGCUAUCUGGACGACAACUGACGCUGAGGCGCGAAAGCGCGGGGAUCAAACAGG
rnacentral:rRNA from 1 species